UCUGAUUCAAAUCAUAAGGGACAAUAUUAGAACAAAAAACGAUUUUAAAAAUAAAAUAUGUCCAAAACACAAUGAAAAAGGAAAAAAGAAAAAAAAAGAAAGGGCCACCACUACCCACACCGGCCAACUCCCAACCACAUUCCUUUUUUCUCAAGCUUUUCUCUUUGUGCUUUUUUCAUUAUCAUUGACUAUCUCUCACUCUCUCAAAUUGGUACAAGUAAAUUCCAUUACAUUCAUUCAGCAACGAAACCUUGAAAGGAUCUCUCUCCCUCUCUGUAUUCUUUGAUUCAUUUGGUGAAAACCCAUUUGUUUUAGAGGCAAAAGAAGGGAUGUGAAGUGGGCAUAAGCCAUGGCAGCUUCAAAACCAGAAGAGAUAAGCCAUCCACCAAUGGACAACCCUCCACAAUUUGUUUGGAAAAUUAAUUUGUCUCUCAAAUUUCAAAUUAUUUCUCUUUAUGCUUUAAUUAAUUAGGAUGGAUUGUUGGAUUUUGGUUAAUUGAUUGAGUUUUUGUUGUGGUUAUUUUGUAUAGAUUUUUUUGAAUUUAUUUAUUUGUAUAUAUUUUUAGUUUUUAAUUAAUUAAUUAAGAUUGUUGUGGUUUGAUUAAAUGAUUAAUAUGGUGAAUUGGUUAAUAUUUCAGUGUGGUGUUUAUUUGUAUAUAAUUAACAUGGUGAAUUGGUUAAUGUGAUUAAUAUAAUGUUUUUAGCUUUUUUAAAUAUCGUU
rnacentral:lncRNA from 1 species